AGCUUUGUGCAGUGGCAGUAGCAUAGCCAAUGAGGUUUAUCCAAGGUGUGAUUAUUGCUAUUUGUAAAACAUUUGUUUUUAUUGAUUUUUUUUUUUGGCAGAACCAGGGAUUGACCUCAGGCCCUUGCACUUUCCAGGCAAGCGCUUAUUCUACUGAGCCAUCUCCCUGG
rnacentral:snRNA from 1 species